UACGUAGGGGGCAAGCGUUGUCCGGAAUCAUUGGGCGUAAAGCGCGCGUAGGCGGCCAGAUAAGUCCGGUGUGAAAGUCACAGGCUCAACCUGUGAAUGCCGCUGGAAACUGUCUGGCUCGAGUCCGGGAGGGGCGAGUGGAAUUCCUGGUGUAGCGGUGAAAUGCGCAGAUAUCAGGAGGAACACCAAUGGCGAAGGCAGCUCGCUGGGACGGUACUGACGCUGAGACGCGAAAGCGUGGGGAGCGAACAGG
rnacentral:rRNA from 1 species